AUGGGGUUUUUUCUACUAGUGUUGGUUAGAUUGCAGGAAUGGAAAACGUUACUUAAGUUGAGAAAUAAAGGUUGGCAUGCAGUGACUUUUCUUGUAAACUCAUUAACAUUUCUUAUUGUGAACUUCUUUAAUUACACUUUAAAAAAAUGUGACCAUAAUUCUGCAAUGAUUUUUAGUCACAGUUUUGAUCAAUUUCAAACAAUUAUAAUCACGGUUCAAAGUUUGUCCUGUAGAUUUGUUUUGCUUGGAGUGGCAGAGCUUCGGUUUUAUAUUUUUGUGAUGCCCGUCCCAACACCCUUAUUUCAACCAAGUCAGGUGACCAAAUCCUCCUUGAAGCCGUUGACAUGGAAAUGGAACAAUUGCACAUGGCUACAAAAAAUUACGAAACCAGCUUCGGACGUCUCUCCGGCAAGCCUGACGUCAUUAUUCUUAUCACGAGCAGGCUAG
rnacentral:rRNA from 1 species